UUCCUUCUUUGAAACUAAUGAAAUGUGUAUGCCAUUCUAUUCAACUGGCUGUAACAAAAUCAUGUACAAAAGUGUUACCCGACAGCCUAGAAUUUCUUGUGCAUGAGACUUACUCAUGGUUUUCCAAAAGUUCCAGUCGACAAUUGCAAUAUCGAAAAAUAUACCAAUGAAUAAAUGAUGAGCAGGUAGACAUACAAACAUAUGUAUUCACAACAAAUAAUCCAAAAUGUGAUUGUCCAUUACUAAUGUAUAAAGAAUGUAUAGAUAUUAGGUAGCUUGCAGUUGUUGUUGGUUUGUAAAAGUUAUAUGUUUAUGUGCUAAGAUUUUCUAAGCUUAAGCUAAUUGGUUUUUUUAUAUUUAUUAAGUAAGAAUCCUUUAAAAAUACCGAGAGUAUCUGACACAAGAUGGUUGUCGAUUGAAAGUGCAGUUUCCCGGAUUGUGGAUCAAUAGACAGAGUUGCAGCUCCAUUUUGAAUUGGCAGCAACUUCGGAAAGGUGUCACAAGGCACAUAUUCUCAACGGGCUAUAUAAAGAUGAGAUAAAUUAUCUUUAUUUGGUAUUUUUAAGGCCCAUAUUAAAGGAAAUGCAAGUCCUGAACAAAAAUGUUCAAAGCCAGAGUGGAAACCCCACCCAAUUACUUUCGGAUGUUAUAGUUGCCAUUAAUGCACUAAGAUCAAAAAUAAUUCCACCUGAUUGUAAUAUAAAUAUUUUAAAAGAUAAUUUGGAAAACGCAGCAGUGCCAAAUUUAUUUUUUGGCUAAGCUUUUGAAAAUAAAGUUAAGGAGGCUCAAUUUCAAUCGCACGAUAUUGAAAUUAGAAAAAAUUGCAUGGAGUUCGUAAAAGAAUUAAUAAUCCAACACCGCGAAAGAUUGCCGGAAAAUAUUAAUAUAAUGGCAAAGGUCAAUUUAUUUUCGGUUCAAAAUAUGCUAAGACCAUCUCAUAGUAAGGACAUUGUCAAUGUUUUGGAAUAUUUUGAAUGUCAAAACAUUGACGCCUUAAAAAUUCAAAUUGAUAAAAUCAAUUUUAUAAAGUGGGAGUUUGUGGAGGACACCAUUAAAUUUUAGGCGGAAGUCGUGAAGUACAAAGACGCUGGCAACAACAACCCAUUUAGUGGCUUAGGGGAAUUUGCCCUAAAAAUUCUUUCACUGCCAUGGUCAAAUGCUGAAGUUGAGCGUAUAUUCUCUCAGAUGAAUAUCGUCAAGAGCAAAUUACGCAACGCCAUGAACCUAAAAACAUUAAAUGCGAUAUUGUAUAUAAGGUAUGGACUACAAAGACACGGAAAAUGUUGCCAUAAUUAUGCUCUACCUUAUGAGUACUUAACACAAAUUACUGGCAAUGAGAAGUACGCUGACUUAAGUGAAGCUGAUGAAUUGGACAGCAUUAUAAGUAUUCUUUAAGUAAUAUAUUUG